AAGAGACUUUACCCAGCAUGAUAGACACCUCAGACUUGCCCAGCUGAGAAUACCAUACAUGUUGUCAUCAACAGGGGUUCUUCGAAUAUCUCAGCAUGAACACAAAUUAUCACACAUGGCAGAGUCCAAGCAGAUCAACCCUGUUCUGGCUCCCGUUCCAAUCACGUAAAGAUGGAAGAUUCCAGAAUCCACAGAGCAUGUUUUCAUAUCUCCUAGACUGUGUUCGUGACUGAUCCCACCUGGAAUACUCUUUGCCUUUGCAGCCUAUAGCCCACCAUGAUCAGGCC